CAGUCGGGAAUAGAGUUGUGUUAAAACUGAAUGCGGUGCCAACUAUAUUCAAAAAUGCUGUGAAUAUAGACUACAGUGAUGAAGGGGCUAAAGGUUUACUAGAUGCUGCUAGUUAUAUAGAAACACAACUCAAUAUUCCUGUGAAUGAAGUAUGUAUUGGAAAA